rnacentral:rRNA from 1 species
AGUGAACGCUGGCGGUAGGCCUAACACAUGCAAGUCGAACGGCAGCACAGGAGAGCUUGCUCUCUGGGUGGCGAGUGGAGGACGGGUGAGGAAUACAUCGGAAUCUACUCUGUCGUGGGGGAUAACGUCGGGAAACUUACGCUAAUACCGCAUACGACCUACGGGUGAAAGCAGGGGAACUUAGGGCCUGGCGCGAUUGAAUGAGCCGAUGUCGGAUUAGCUAGUUGGCGGGGUAAAGGCCCACCAAGGCGACGAUCCGUAGCUGGUCUGAGAGGAUGAUCAGCCACACUGGAACUGAGACACGGUCCAGACUCCUACGGGCGGCAGCAGUGGGGAAUAUUGGACAAUGGGCGCAAGCCUGAUCCAGCCAUACCGCGUGGGUGAAGAAGGCCUUCGGGUUGUAAAGCCCUUUUGUUGGGAAAGAAAUCCAGCUGGCUAAUACCCGGUUGGGAUGACGGUACCCAAAGAAUAAGCACCGGCUAACUUCGUGCCAGCAGCCGCAGUAA